GGCCGACACAUUUCUUCUGCAGGUGACGAAGAGAUUGACUGCUGUCUAGUGCAUGCUAAAGGAACCCUAUGGAUUUCUAAAGAUAUCUUGAGAAUAAUUAAUUCACAGCUAAGUUUGGAUAUUCUAGGGAAAAGGUAUUGGAAUACCUUCAGGGAGGAAAUGAAACAGGUUAAUCACACCAGACCUCAUAAAUAUUUGUAAGAGCCCUGUCCACUGAAAGAUAGAGGUAUCUGAAGAUGGCUUGGCUGAAAUGAAAGCAACUAAUGUCAGUACUGUAGUUGUGCAAAAUCUUUGCUCAGAUGUCACCACUUGAUGUUCCUAAACUCACUGGGAGCUUCUUCCCUGUGUGGGUGGCAUUUCUACAUGUACCAUGCCUUAUCCAUGUGCCCCAAACUGCUCAUGCUGAGUAGCUCAGCAUUUAAUGUAGCCUGGCUACUGCCACACACUUGUCACUUCUCCAUCCUCAUCUCAAGAAAGACCCAGAUAUAUGCAUGCAAAGUUUGUGAAUUAUACUCCCUCCUAACACAGGAACAUUAUUCUUAUGUAUAUGCAUAUUCAAGCUAUGAUCUAAUGCAACUUCAUUUCAGUGGAGGCCUAGGAAAUCAUCAAAUAUUGAGAGUCUGCUGGUAAUGCUUGACUAUGUAGCAACUAACAUAUAUUUGACAUGUAAAAUUGCAGGUAACUUUCUUUUUGUUUACAGCUCUUAGUUUGUUGCAUUCCAAAAGAAAGAAAACAUUGUUCUUCUGUCCUUGGAAAAAAAAAUAGAUACAAAAGAAUUUGUUUAGGACAGCCAUUUAAGUGGUUAUUGUUUUCAUGUGAUUUUCAGGAUCUCUUGGAACCCAAUUAUAUAAAGUAUUUCAAGUUUCCCAUCUCUGAGAGGCAUUCUUAAGUUAUGUUGUCCAUGUUCAGUCAUGUAAGACCAUUUUUAUUUUGUCACC